rnacentral:rRNA from 1 species
CGACCGGCGCACGGGUGAGUAACGCGUAUCCAACCUUCCCAUUACUGUGGGGAUAACCUGCCGAAAGGCAGACUAAUACCGCAUAGUCUUCGAUGACGGCAUCAGAUUUGAAGUAAAGAUUUAUCGGUAAUGGAUGGGGAUGCGUCUGAUUAGCUUGUUGGCGGGGUAACGGCCCACCAAGGCGACGAUCAGUAGGGGUUCUGAGAGGAAGGUCCCCCACAUUGGAACUGAGACACGGUCCAAACUCCUACGGGAGGCAGCAGCC